GACAGCAGUCGCCGCGGGAAUACAGAGGGUGCGAGCGUUAAUCGGAUUUACUGGGCGUAAAGCGUGCGUAGGCGGCUUCUUAAGUCGGAUGUGAAAUCCCUGAGCUUAACUUAGGAAUUGCAUUCGAUACUGGGAAGCUAGAGUAUGGGAGAGGAUGGUAGAAUUCCAGGUGUAGCGGUGAAAUGCGUAGAGAUCUGGAGGAAUACCGAUGGCGAAGGCAGCCAUCUGGCCUAAUACUGACGCUGAGGUACGAAAGCAUGGGGAGCAAACAGGAUUAGAUACCCGUGUAGUCCCUGUCUCUUAUAC
rnacentral:rRNA from 1 species